AAACCCAUUCACUUUUCAAAACAUCAAUAGACCCACUAUAUCACAUCCCACUUAUUUUUAAACCCAAAUGUACAAUACACCCAUUAUUUGUACUGUAUUUAUCCAAAAAAUUUGAAAAAUCCUAAACUACCCUUCAUCCCCAACUGAUCUCUCCCUCUCCCCUCCUCCUCCAUCUGAGCUCAGAAGAGAUCUCUCCCUCUCCCCUCCUCCUCCUCUUCCCUCCCUUCACUUCCCCUCCUCCCUCAAGCCCAUCAACCUCUGCAUCCACUGCCCCUAUCUCCCCUCGCCGCCACGUCACCCACCACCGUCGACCUUGAAGUAGAUGAAUAGCCCACCAAUGAUUUCGACAUUGACUCCCUGUAGUUCGCCCAUCAACCUGAAGCACUUGUCAUUGCCGCCAGUGGACGGAGCUUGAGGAGCACUCGGAGUAAUGGCGGAGGUCGAAGACCGCUUGGCUUUGUAAGGAGCUGCUUUCGCAUAAGCCGACGACGAUGGUGAGGAUCCUUGGCGCUCAAAGGAAGUGGGUUCGGCAGAAGGAGGUGGGUUAUGUUGUUCUCCAUUGCAAGUCAGCCUGUCCGUGAUCGCUUCAAAAAUAACGCUGAUGCCAAAAAGCUAUUGGAAAAAGUGAAGGAGCGUAGAUUGUAACAUUUUUAUGGUGGGAUACAUAUAUUCCAUCAUCAAUGGCACACCUAACGUAACGCACAGCUACCCCUCAAUCAGAAACCAUUCGUCAAUGCACACUAACUUUCCAAUCAAAUACAUGAGAGAAUCCCCCACUAUUGGCAUUCGAUCAGAUCUUCGCAUUGCUGUCACAUUGCAACCCAAACGGCAAAUCAACUACAGCCUGCAAUAUGAUGUACCAAGUAGUAUCCAAUGUAUCGUGUUGUAUGAAAUUUUCUAUAUUAUGUAUAUAUAGAUGAUUUGUGUGCAUAUUGUAUCAAAUGCACUAUCCAAUGUAUCAUGUUGUAUCAAAUUUAUCAGUGUAACUAGUAGAAAUGUAUCUAGUAGAAA